CUCCACCGGAAAAAGANGAGUGGCGAACGGGUGAGUAACACGUGGGUAACCUGCCCAUCAGAAGGGGAUAACACUUGGAAACAGGUGCUAAUACCGUAUAACAAUCNAAACCGCAUGGUUUUGAUUUGAAAGGCGCUUUCGGGUGUCGCUGAUGGAUGGACCCGCGGUGCAUUAGCUAGUUGGUGAGGUAACGGCUCACCAAGGCCACGAUGCAUAGCCGACCUGAGAGGGUGAUCGGCCACAUUGGGACUGAGACACGGCCCAAACUCCUACGGGAGGCAGCAGUAGGGAAUCUUCGGCAAUGGACGAAAGUCUGACCGAGCAACGCCGCGUGAGUGAAGAAGGUUUUCG
rnacentral:rRNA from 1 species